GAGUUGGGGUGUCUUCUCCCCGGAUCCCCUUUCUCACUCCUCUGGCUGGAGCUUGGAGGAGCUGAGCUCUGUCGCCAUUGAUUCUGGGCGUCGUCGAUGUCAGCCGACUCAGGAAGAAGGAAGGCUCGAUCUAAUCAUCUAGCGGGGCCGUACUUUGUUCCUUCGGGGCGGCCACCUGGAUGGCCUCGCUGCUUCGCGGCAGCGCGAUGGCAAAGCGGGUGGCGUAUGAAAGGCGGGGAUGCGUUGCAGGGACGUCUGUGGAGGGAUUCUUGAGACUUGGGUGGUGGAGCUCGUAGUUUAAUGGAGGCUCCGGAUAGAGGUGUGGCUCUCCGUGGGAAUCGGCUCCAUCGACAUCGCCAAUGGAAUGGAAGGCAGCCAAAUAAUUGGGGCACUGGUUCUAUUGGUGAGGCCUGGAUAAAAAGGGGCUGCUCGUUGGCAAGCAGCCGCAAUAGAUGGAGAGCCAGAAUCGUACUGGUCGGCAGCAAGUGGUCGGGGAGGACAUAGAACAAUGGGAGGUGAAUCGAGCUGGUGUACUACAGCUGGUAUGUUCGUACUGGUCGGCAGCAAGUGGUCGGGGAGGACAUAGAACAAUGGGAGGUGAAUCGAGCUGGUGUACUACAGCUGCGGAGAUGGAGACAUGAGGAAGACGUAGCCUACCGGAGCCUUGCCGAUGGAGAAGAUGAGGCUGGAGAUGGAGACAUGAGGAAGACGUAGCCUACCGGAGCCUUACUGAUGGAGAAGAUGAGGCUGGACCUCCUUACCUGAUCCGCCCCUGCCUGCAUCUAUGGGACAGUACGGGAGGCUGUGUAGUGGCACAUAAAAGUGUUGCCAUGGGCGAGCUGACGCAAGUGCGGAACAACUUCUGACUGCGCCAUCCAUGAUUGCAAGAUCACCAGCGGCGCAGACAACUUCUGAUGGCAUCCUCCAUGACUGCAAGAUCACCGGCGACGCGGACAACUUCUGACGGCGUCCUUCAUAACUGCAAGAUCAACAGCGGCACCACGUGGAGAGCUCCGGACGGCGACCACAACCUCCUCAAAGGGUCCGAGGUACGUCGGGAUAAGGCGGGAACCACCGCGGCGAGGCACGGCUACCGCUCCACCAGCGACCAUGGCAACAUCAGAGGAGAGCCCUAGGAGAGAGUUUGUGGUCUGAGAAGGGGAAGAGGGCGCCGGCCCUAGUGGGAGGAGGUGGGCGGUGAGGUAGGGAGGAAGGAUAGAGAUGGGGCAAAGCAGCCCCUCGCAUCGAUCUAUGUGGAGUCGUGGGCACCGCUUUGACUACUUGGCUCUUUGACCAAUCUUAAAAAAAAAAGGGAGAGGCCAACAGCCGGUUGCCGGUUGCCCAGGAAAAAGAAACGUGUAACAACUAAUAGAGCAAAUGGUGGAGAAAAAAAAAGAGAGCAACGUGUCAUGCAAUGGCUGGAUAAAAGAGUGGAUAAAUAAGCCAUGAACAGUAACCGAAUUGCUAGGAGCGCACGAAAUCAGCCACC